rnacentral:rRNA from 1 species
AUGGCAGCGUACUACCACGGCGGCGCCGGCACGGACAUCCACCAGGCCGCCAGCGACGGCCUGCAAACACUGUACCUCAUGAACCCGAGCUACGGCACCGGCGGCUACGGGGACGCCGCGCCCUCCGGGGCCAACAUGAUGCUCCUCAACUCGGCGGUGAGCUCCAUGACCCCGGCGUCCUUCGGCGGCCACCAGGCGUCGCCACCGCCGGGGCAGCACUUCGUCGGCAUCCCUCUUCAGGUCCCCCCCUCGGGCUACAACCUGUGGACCCCGGCCACAACCGGCAUCGCCGACGUCAUGUCGCCACCGACGCAGCAGGCUCAUGGCGUGAGUGCCGUGCUCAGCCUGUCGUCUCGCGAGACGCCGCCGGUCACGGUGGCUUCCAUCGCCGGCGACGAAGGGAGGUACCACCUUGGGUCGACGACCGCGGCGUCGCAGGGGCAGGUGGUGAUGAACUCCAAGUACCUCAGGGCGGCGCAGGAGCUGCUCGACGAGGUGGUGAGCGUGAGCAAGGGCGUGGACGACGUGGACCCCAAGGCGAAGAGCGCUGUGUCGGUCAAGAAGAAGGAGGAUUCGGAAGGCCUUUCCGGCGGCGGCGGGGAGGAAGGCGCCAGCGGGGCCAAGGGCGGCGCGCCAGCGCCCGAGAUGUCGACGGCGGAGCGGCAGGAGCUGCAGAUGAAGAAAGGCAAACUGGUUAACAUGCUUGACGAGGUGGAGCAGCGGUACCGGCAGUACCACCAGCAGAUGGCGUCGGUGUCGUCGUCGUUCGAGGCGGUGGCCGGUGCCGGGUCGGCGCGGACGUACACGGCGCUGGCGCUGCGCACCAUCUCGCGGCAGUUCCGCUGCCUCCGCGACGCCAUCGCCUCCCAGGUGCGCGCCGCCAGCCGCGCCCUGGGCGAGGACUGCGACGCCGAGGGGCUCGGUGGCGGGCUCGGCGGAGGGCCCGGCGUCGGGUCCCGGCUCCGGUACAUCGACCACCAGCUCCGGCAGCAGCGCGCGCUGCAGCAGCUGGGCAUGAUGCAGAGCAGCGCGUGGCGCCCCCAGCGGGGCCUCCCCGAGCGCUCCGUCUCCAUCCUCCGUGCAUGGCUCUUCGAGCACUUCCUCCAUCCAUACCCCAAGGAUUCGGACAAGAUCAUGCUCGCCAAGCAGACCGGCCUCACCAGGAGCCAGGUGUCGAACUGGUUCAUCAACGCGAGGGUGAGGCUGUGGAAGCCGAUGGUGGAGGAGAUGUACCUCGAGGAGACCAAGGAGCAUCAGCAGCAGCAGGACGGCGGCGACGACAAGGGGAGGCCGUCUGGGUCCGGCCCCGCCGGAGGAAAGAGCAGCAGCAACGCGGACGGCGUGGACGACGGCACUCCGAGGUCCAUGGCCAGAGCGGCGGCGGGAGCCGGGACGUCGGAGGGCGGCGGCGCCGUCCAGGCGUCCUUGCUCGAGCUCGCCGGAGAGCACCAGGCGCACGCGGGGUUCUACGACGAGGAGGGUGAGGAUGGCGGGUUAAGGCGCGGCUUCAAGAAGGCGAGGGCGGCCGACCUCGAGCAGCAACCGCCGGCGGCGUUCGACUUCGGCGCGUUGCACCACGCGCAGGCAGCCGCGGCCGCCGCAGCGAGGCAGCAGCACGACGAGGUGAGCCACCGGGAGCUGCUCAUGAAGUUCAUGGAGAGCGGCGGCGCGGCAGGCGCGAGGGACCACCACCACCAACACCAACACGACGAGGACGGGGCCGGCGGCGGGUACUCUCUGUUCGCGCCGGGGCCGUACGGGCAGUUCGGCACCGACCAGUCGUUCGCGUUCCCCGGGGCCGGGCAGCACGGCGGCGUCUCGCUCACGCUCGGCCUCCCCCACGGGGCCGGCGAUCAGACGGCGUUCCUCAUGGGCGGCGGCAGCAGCAACGGCGCCGACAGCGGCGGCAGCGGCGCUGCCGGCUACGACAUGAACAUGCAGACCACCAAGUCCUUCGCGGCUCAGCUCAUGAGAGACUUCGUGGCAUAG